GGGUUGUGAGGUUAAGCGACUAAGCGUACACGGUGGAUGCCCUGGCAGUCAGAGGCGAUGAAGGACGUGCUAAUCUGCGAUAAGCGUCGGUAAGGUGAUAUGAACCGUUAUAACCGGCGAUUUCCGAAUGGGGAAACCCAGUGUGAUUCGUCACACUAUCAUUAACUGAAUCCAUAGGUUAAUGAGGCGAACCGGGGGAACUGAAACAUCUAAGUACCCCGAGGAAAAGAAAUCAACCGAGAUUCCCCCAGUAGCGGCGAGCGAACGGGAUA
rnacentral:rRNA from 1 species